UUUUGAUUGUGAGACAUCUAAGCAAAAAAUGAUACACAAAUUUAUAUAUCAAACAAAUCAAAACUCAAAAUUUUAGCCUCUUUUGGAUACUUAUUCGUGAUUGAGUUCGGUUUUGGUAUAGGUUUCUUUUGAGAUUUUGUUUUUUUUUUUCUGGUUUUGAGUCAUUCAAGUUCAGGUUUGGUUUAGAUAAACCCUAUAACCCAAGCUAUCGUAAAACAAGAGCUAUUCAAUACUUAUGUCGGAUUUAGAGUCAGUUUUAUUGGAUUGAAU
rnacentral:lncRNA from 1 species